rnacentral:rRNA from 1 species
GACGAACGCUGGCGGCGUGCUUAACACAUGCAAGUCGAACGGAAAGGCCCUGCUUUUGUGGGGUGCUCGAGUGGCGAACGGGUGAGUAACACGUGAGUAACCUGCCCUUGACUUUGGGAUAACUUCAGGAAACUGGGGCUAAUACCGGAUAGGAGCUCCUGCUGCAUGGUGGGGGUUGGAAAGUUUCGGCGGUUGGGGAUGUACUCGCGGCUUAUUAGCUUGUUGGUGGGGUAGUGGCCUACCAAGGCUUCGACGGGUAGCCGGCCUGAGUGGGUGACCGGCCACAUUGGGACUGCGAUACGGCCCAGACUCCAACAGGAGGCAGCAGUGGGAAAUAUUGCACAAUGGGCGGAAGCCUGAUGCAGCAACGCCGCGUGCGGGAUGACGGCCUUCGGGUUGUAAACCGCUUUCGCCUGUGACGAAGCGUGAGUGACGGUAAUGGGUAAAGAAGCACCGGCUAACUACGUG